rnacentral:rRNA from 1 species
AGGCUACCGCUAUUGGAGUUCGAUUAAGCCAUGCGAGUCGCGAGAAUUAGAUUCUCGGCGUACCGCUCAGUAACACGUGGGUAACCUGCCCUAUGCUGGAUAAUAACCUCGGGAAACUGAGAAUAAUGAUCUAUAGUUCACUACGCCUGGAACGGUGAGUGGAUGAAAGCUCCGGCGGCAUAGGAUGGGCCUGCGGCGUAUCAGGUUGUAGGGGGUGUAAUGUACCCUCUAGCCCUCUACGCGUACGGGUGUUGAGAGACAUCGCCCGGAGAUGGAUUCUGAGACACGAAUCCAGACCCUACGGGGUGCAGCAGGCGCGAAAACUUGGCAAUGCGAGAAAUCGUGACCAGGGAACUCCAAGUGCAUGGGGUAAGACCUAUGCUUUUCUAGACUCUAAAAAGGUCUUGGAAUAAGAGGUGGGUAAGGACGGUGCCAGCCGCCGCGGUAAUACCGGCGCCUCAAGUGGUAGUCGCUUUUAUUGGGCCUAAAACGUCCGUAGCCGGUCUGAUACAUUCGUGGGUAAAUCAACCAGCUUAACUGGUUGAAUUCUGCGAGGACGGUCAGACUUGGGACCGGGAGAGGUGUGGGGUACGCUCAGGGUAGGGGUAAAAUCCUGUCAUCCUGAGCGGACCACCUGUUGCGAAGGCGCCACACUAGAACGGAUCCGACGGUCAGGGACGAAGCCUAGGGGCACGAACCGGAUUAGAUACCCGGGUAGUCCUAGGUGUAAACGCUGUGGACUUGAUGUUGGGGGUGCUCCGAGCACUCUCAGUGUCGAAGCGAAGGCGAUAAGUCCACUGCCUGGGAAGUACGGUCGCAAGGCUGAAACUUAAAGGAAUUGGCGGGGGAGCACCGCAACCUGAGGAUUGUGCGGUUU